AACCUUUAGCAUAAACAAAUAUUAAAGGCAACGCCUGCCCAGUGAACAAUUAAACGGCCGCGGUACCCUAACCGUGCAAAGGUAGCGUAAUCAUUUGUCUAUUAAUUGUAGACCAGUAUGAAAGGCAAAAUGAGGGCCUCACUGUCUCUUAUAGUAAAUCAAUUAAACUGAUCUCCUAGUAAAAAAGCUAGAAUACACUCAUAAGACCAGAAGACCCUGUGAAGCUUAAACUAAACUAUUAAACCACAUAAUAACUACUUUUGGUUGGGGCGACCUUGGAAAACAAAAGAACUUCCAAAAUUAUUACCCAUUGGGGGAAUAUGCCAGGCCAACAAGCCUAUUAAACGACCCAGCACAGCUGACAAUUGAACCAAGUUACUCCAGGGAUAACAGCGCCAUCUUCUUCAAGAGUCCAUAUUAAAAAGAAGGUUUACGACCUCGAUGUUGGAUCAGGACAUCCUAAUGGUGCAGCAGCUAUUAAGGGUUCGUUUGUUCAACGAUUAAUAGUCCU
rnacentral:rRNA from 1 species